GUCACAUAGAGACACAUGCAGAUACAGAAACAUACACACACAAACAGAAAAAUACAACUCUGUUCCGCAGAGUAGCUGUUGACAUUAUAGUUGCGCGGGCACUUUGUUGACUCUAGAGAACCUCGGACCAAUCGCACAUCCCCGUGACGGCGACUUUGCAUUCAGAUGUCAUCCAUAUCAACUUUCGAUGCCAGUUUCUGCAUCUACCAUGGUGACCAUGGGUAAUGGGGAAUCAGGGUUCCAUUCCGUACAGGGACCCUGAUAAACAGCUACCACAUGCAAGGAAAGCAGCAGGUGCGCAAAUGACCCACUCCCGACGGGCGAAGGUAGUGAUGAC